CGCAUGGCUCCCUCCUUUCUAUUUUCAUUUCUAUAUCCAACGGCAGCACGGGUGCUUGCACCUGGUGGCGAGUGGCGAACGGGUGAGUAAUACAUCGGAACGUGUCCUGAAGUGGGGGAUAGCCCGGCGAAAGCCGGAUUAAUACCGCAUACGAUCUACGGAUGAAAGCGGGGGAUCUUCGGACCUCGCGCUAUAGGGGCGGCCGAUGGCGGAUUAGCUAGUUGGUGAGGUAAAGGCUCACCAAGGCGACGAUCCGUAGCUGGUCUGAGAGGACGACCAGCCACACUGGGACUGAGACACGGCCCAGACUCCUACGGGAGGCAGCAGUGGGGAAUUUUGGACAAUGGGCGAAAGCCUGAUCCAGCAAUGCCGCGUGUGUGAAGAAGGCCUUCGGGUUGUAAAGCACUUUUGUCCGGAAAGAAAUCCCUGGUCCUAAUAUGGCCGGGGGAUGACGGUACCGGAAGAAUAAGCACCGGCUAACUACGUGCCAGCAGCCGCGGUAAUACGUAGGGUGCAAGCGUUAAUCGGAAUUACUGGGCGUAAAGCGUGCGCAGGCGGUGAUGUAAGACCGAUGUGAAAUCCCCGGGCUCAACCUGGGAACUGCAUUGGUGACUGCAUCGCUUGAGUAUGGCAGAGGGGGGUAGAAUUCCACGUGUAGCAGUGAAAUGCGUAGAGAUGUGGAGGAAUACCGAUGGCGAAGGCAGCCCCCUGGGUCAAUACUGACGCUCAUGCACGAAAGCGUGGGGAGCAAACAGGAUUAGAUACCCUGGUAGUCCACGCCCUAAACGAUGUCAACUGGGUUGUCGGGUCUUCAUUGACUUGGAUAACGUAGCUAACGCGUGAAGUUG
rnacentral:rRNA from 1 species